AGAGUUUGAUCAUGGCUCAGGAUGAACGCUAGCUACAGGCUUAACACAUGCAAGUCGAGGGGAAACGAUAUUGGAAAGCUUGCUUUCCGAUAGGCGUCGACCGGCGCACGGGUGAGUAACGCGUAUCCAACCUGCCCACCACUUGGGGGAUAACCUUGCGAAAGUAAGACUAAUACCCAAUGAUAUCUCUAGAAGACAUCUGAAAGAGAUUAAAGAUUUAUCGGUGAUGGAUGGGGAUGCGUCUGAUUAGCUUGUUGGCGGGGUAACGGCCCACCAAGGCGACGAUCAGUAGGGGUUCUGAGAGGAAGGUCCCCCACAUUGGAACUGAGACACGGUCCAAACUCCUACGGGAGGCAGCA
rnacentral:rRNA from 1 species